GAUGAAGAACGUAGCGAAAUGCGAUAAGUAAUGUGAAUUGCAGAAUUCAGUGAAUCAUCGAAUCUUUGAACGCACCUUGCGCUCCUUGGUAUUCCGAGGAGCAUGCCUGUUUGAGUGUCAUUAAUAUAUCAACCUUCUCUUUUUUGAGUUGUUUGGAUGCGGGGGUUUGCUGGCCUCUUAAAUGAUUCAGCUCCCCUGAAAUGCAUUAGCAGAACAACCUGUUCAUUAGCGUGAUAAUUAUCUAUGCUAUUGAAUGUGAGGGCAGUUCAGCUUUCUAACCGUCCUUGGACAAUUCAUCAUUAAUGUGACCUCAAAUCAGGUAGGACUACCCGCUGAACUUAAGCAUAUCAAUAAGCGGAGGA
rnacentral:misc_RNA from 1 species